GUGAUUUUGAUUUAAUUUGAUCUAAGUGUAGGUACCUAAUGUGGUAGAAGAUGCAGAAAUAAUCCAGUUCUCUACGCAGGGCUAAAGAAUAUACCUACCUACCUAAACUUUGAUAUCCUUAGUUUUAACACUACCACCGCUUCGGAAUUUAAGGCUUUCUAAGAGAGAAGAAACGGCGCAAGAAACUUUUUUCCCCUAUUUUAAUAAAACAAUUUUAAUUAACUGGGUAAAUUUUUUAUGUGCGGCCCCAAUUUAAUAAAACAGAGAACUGCGGAUGGAUGGUUUUAGAAGGUAAACCUGAAGGUCGAAAUCGUGGUAAGCCCGAUCUGACGUGAUUGGACGGCAUUGAACAGGACUUCCAGACCUUGGGAACCAUGAGAUGCGUGCGAUUAGCUCAGAACACACAGACACCCCAGUGGACAGCCGGUAUAACGCGAUGGGCGUCAUCUCCACAGCACGGCCGAUUAUUGAGUCGGGACCGCUUAUUAUAAUUAACAGCUUGCCCCAACAUUAUGUACGUGGAUUGUGGACCCGAAUCAUGUAUCUAUAGUUCUUUGACAAUAUUAUAAUUAUCAACCUCUCUUGUUCAAAGUUAACGCAUGUAGAAACUAAUUAAACAAAAUCGUUGUA